rnacentral:misc_RNA from 1 species
UAGCAUCAGGCCUUGGAGCCUCCC